ACUCAAAGGAAUUGACGGGGGCCCGCACAAGCGGUGGAGCAUGUGGUUCAAUUCGACGCAACGCGAAGAACCUUACCUGGGUUGGAACCCCCCGGAACCCUCCAGAGAUGGAGGGGUGCUCGCAAGAGAACCGGGUGUCCAGGUGCUGCAUGGCUGUCGUCAGCUCGUGUCGUGAGAUGUUGGGUUAAGUCCCGCAACGAGCGCAACCCUUGUCGUUAGUUGCCAGCGGUUAGGCCGGGCACUCUAACGAGACUGCCGGUGUUAAACCGGAGGAAGGUGGGGAUGACGUCAAGUCCUCAUGGCCCUCAUGCCCAGGGCUACACACGUGCUACAAUGACCGGUACAAAGGGUUGCAAACCCGCGAGGGCAAGCCAAUCCCAAAAAACCGGCCUCAGUUCAGAUUGAAGUCUGCAACUCGACUUCAUGAAGUCGGAAUCGCUAGUAAUCCCUGAUCAGCAGGCAGGGGUGAAUACGUUCCCGGGCCUUGCACACACCGCCCGU
rnacentral:rRNA from 1 species